UGCAUUACAAUAACGGUGCUCGCUGCU
rnacentral:sRNA from 1 species